rnacentral:lncRNA from 1 species
AUUCUUUAUAAAUUACCCAGACCAUGGUGUUCUAUUACAGCAGCACAAAUGGAGUGGCACGGCCUAGUAAGUCUAUUAUCUUUAUUGGUACUGUUGACUAAAAGGGUAUCUUGAAUCCUGGUCUCUUCUUCCCUCCUUUUCCACAAAGAAAAGCCCUGUGACCCCACACAUUACCGUCAGCUCUGCACCACCCCUUGCACGAGCCCUGACUCAGGUUAGGUCUCUCAGUCAUCUUUGCUACUUGUCCAACCCUUUCUUUCUUGAGGCUCGGGCCCUACCUCGUGCCUGUUAAGAACUGUGAAGAGCCUGAUAUUAUUUAUUUAUUUAUUUAUUUAUUUGAGACAGAAUUGUGCUCUUGUUGCCUAGGCUAGAGUUCAAUGGUGCAAUCUUGGCUCACCGCAACCUCUGCCUCCUGGAUACAAGCGAUUCUCCUGCCUCAGCCUCUCAAGUAGCUGGGAUUACAGGCAUGUGCCACCACACCCAGCUAAUUUUGUAUUUUUUUUUUUUUAGUAGACACGAGGUUUCUCCAUGUUGGUCAGGCUGGUCCUUGAACUCCCGACCUCAGGUGAUCUGCCCACCUUGGCCUCCCAAAGUCCUGGGAUUACAGGAUAAAGAUGGAAAUAGAAAAAUGAACAGAAAAUUGGUGGUGAGAAAGGAUGCUUAAGCUGGUGAGACAACUGAUAAAAAUUUCUGCUGAAAGGUU